GUGCUUGUGGAUCACCGUGUAAGAUCGUUCGGUCUCUCCAAUUGGGGAUAUACUGAAAGUCGGGGGUUCGAAUCCCUCCAAGCGUA